AUUAUAAGUAGGAGCCGAAUCCGACUUUUCCAUUUGCUCCGCAGUCGGAGUGCCUCUCUGGCCGUGGCGAACGAAGCGGGUCUACCGUGGCGGAGGAAAAGCAUCGUCGUCGUCGAUCCCACAGGAAAAUGGAACAUUGUAUUCGUGGAGGCUUUAAUGGAAAAGAUUCGGGAGGGAACGAAAGUGAUGGUGACGGGAAGAUUCAGUACAUUUCAAGGGGGCUUGCUUCUGGCAGCAGCAUUGGUGCAUUUAAAAAGAAGUGUAAUCCCAGUCUUUCCAGAAGUGAGGAAAAGAAGGAAGCCUACAAAAGGAGGAAGAGGACUCCUGACACUGACAACAGUUGGAAGCCUCCAAGUGAUGAACACAUUUCAAAUGGGGUUAUUCCUGUAGACCCGAAUCUCUUCGCAGAAUAUGCAUACACGGGUCCAAGCUAUAAAUGGAGCUCUUCUCUCAGUGGAGGGGCUAAAUAUCUAUACUGUUCAGAGGAGAUUUCAAAUGGGGUUGCUACCAGCAGCAUUCUAUCCAAGCUAGAACCUUACCCUGUGCGCAAGAAAGUGAUUACCAGAAAAGGGAAACCUAGGGCAGUUCUUACAGCAGACGAGACAAAGAAAGAGUGCUAUAAAAGGAGAACUUCAGACAACACUUGGAAGCCUCCACGCUCUGUCCAUCGUUUACUCCAGGAGGAGUAUGCUCAUGACCCUUGGAAAGUUUUGAUUAUAUGUCUUUCUAAAUUGCACUACUGGAGGACAGGUGAAAAAGGUACUUUCAAGAUUUUUUGAUUUAUGUCCAGAUGCUGAAACAUGUAUUCAAGUUCCACCAUGGAAGAUAGAAAAUAUAAUCUCAAGUCUAGGUAUUUUGAGAAGAGUUGAGACUUUGCAAUGUCUCUCAUCACAGUAUUUGAGCGAUAGUUGGACUCAUGUCCCACAGCUGUACGGUGUUGGCAAGUAUGCAGCUGACGCAUAUGCAAUAUUUUGUACGGGAGGAUGGAGGGAGGUGACACCUGAAGAUCACAAGCUAGUUGAUUACUGGCGGUUUCUUCAUUCCAUCUACGAUUGAGAAGUGCUUUUUUUUUUUGGGAAGUCACCUGCAGUUGUUGAGGUGGUUCUUUUUGGCAGUACAAUCCUACAGUCAAGAACGACGCAAGAAAAAGCGGCUAAGGAAAAAAGAAAAGAAAAUUGGCAUUAGGUGCUACCAGUGAGACUGAGCUAGGGAGGGAAUCGGCAGGGGUUAGCAUAUCUGCUACACUCUUUGUUCUAGUGUUGGUGCAUCGAAAGGAAAGGACCUAGGUUGAGUUGACAUCUCUCACCUAAGCCUUUGUAAGAAUUGGUGUAAUGACUUUGUAAGUUGUACUGUGUAUAAGUUGCUUUAGUACUUGAGGAUGUGCAUAUUGUGGUAAAUGUUGCGUUUUGUGAUUUUAAGCUCCCUAGCCUUUUGUAUAUGUAUGAAUGAUGAAAUGACUAGAUGGGCUAGUGGAAGAAUGUAUAUGUGUGUGAAAAUGAGAUGUUUGAAGAGUAUGUGUGAUGAUUUGGCCAUGUAUAAGAUUAGAGAAAUGAAAAUGAGAUUUGGCCUAAAAGUGUGAAAUGGGCAA